rnacentral:tRNA from 1 species
CGGGCUGUAGCGCAGUUUGGUAGCGCGCUUGAAUGGGGUUCAAGAGGCCCCCGGUUCGAAUCCGGGCAGCCCGACCA